GGGGCCACGACCCGGCUUGCUGGAAGGAAACUUGGGGACAUCUGUAAGGAGAGGAAUAGGAAGGACCCGAGGAGAAGCAGUAAAGGAGGGCGUUGUGGAUCCUUUGGAGCCAAGGACUGGAACUGACAUGCAAGACCUCUACCAACUGAGGGUUUCAUGAGCACACUCCUUUGCCAAGAUCUCCGUGAAUAGUCCUUCACUGUGCAGUUGUGUCUUAGACAUUGUUUUACUUGUCAUGAUCGUGCUUGGCUGGAUGCUCUUUGUUGGACUUGCAUGUUACAUGGGUGCAUUUCCGGAGUUCAUGCCUCCAACUCUGAAGUGGAAAGAGAAGUGGCCUGUUCAGGAGAACAAAACACGACUGAGGAGCCGGACUUUGGAUGAAGACGCACAGCUCUGAGAACCAUGUGGAAGGGAUAUAAGUAUCCCCCAGGAGGGGCCUUGGAUAUUUGUUCUUUUUUGGCCUCUUGUCACCUCCCCCAUGGCUACACUCUGGCAACUGGGAUCAGAGGCAUUAAGAGGCAGAAUUGGACAGCAAGGAGGGCAAUUGCCUCAUCCCCACACCCCAGCAAACACUAGGGGAUCAGAACCUGCUCAUUUUCUUGACAAGAACUAUAUACCCAGUUCUUCUUCCCUCCAGUUUCCUGAAUAUACCUCCAAACAAUUCUCCUAACUUGGGUGUCUGGUAGCAGACCAGCUCUCUUAAGCUGGUGGGGGGCGGGGAGAGGUGUCAGUUGUGGGGACUGAGCAGACAUGAAUGUGUCAGGGAGAAUGAACAGAGGUGUGUGUGUGUGUAAGGAGGCAAACCCCAUCUCAAGUCUGAUGAGUCUACCGGAGGUUCUAGCUGGGAAAAUGUUCAGGGCGAUGAAAGAAGGAAUAUCUG